GAUGUGGUGGCCGAGUGGUUAAGGUGAUGGACUGCUAAUCCAUUCUGCUUGGCAUGCAUGGGUUUGAAUCCUAUCCUCAUCG